AUUGAACGCUGGUGGCAGGCUUAACACAUGCAAGUCGAACGGUAACAGGAAUUAGCUUGCUAAUUUGCUGACGAGUGGCGGACGGGUGAGUAAUGCUUGGGAAUCUGGCUUAUGGAGGGGGAUAACUACGGGAAACUGUAGCUAAUACCGCGUAAAAUCUUCGGAUUAAAGGGUGGGACUUUCGAGCCACCUGCCAUAAGAUGAGCCCAAGUGGGAUUAGGUAGUUGGUUAGGUAAAGGCUGACCAAGCCGACGAUCUCUAGCUGGUCUGAGAGGAUGACCAGCCACACUGGAACUGAGACACGGUCCAGACUCCUACGGGAGGCAGCAGUGGGGAAUAUUGCACAAUGGGGGGAACCCUGAUGCAGCCAUGCCGCGUGAAUGAAGAAGGCCUUCGGGUUGUAAAGUUCUUUCGGUGACGAGGAAGGUGGAUAGGUUAAUAGCCUAUCAAAUUGACGUUAAUCACAGAAGAAGCACCGGCUAACUCCGUG
rnacentral:rRNA from 1 species